rnacentral:lncRNA from 1 species
AGAAGAGAGCCAGGGGCAUGGAGAGUUCAGGCCUCCAGCAGAGGGAGUGCAGAUAUGGGGAAAGCUGACCCCUGGAGUCAGCAGGCCCAGCCCUAGGAGGGGGCAGUCCCACAGCAGGCUCACACCCUGCCCUUCAGAGUUGCAGCAGCUAAUGCUGAUGCCAGGACCUUGUCCUGCCAGGAAGCCUCUGAUUAGGGCUGUGAACCAACUUCCUUUUCACAUCUGCAAGGACACUUGGAGGCAACUGCCCAAGGCCACUCUGAGGAGGGUUGAAUGUUCUUUAUUAAAAGGACUGAGGAUCAUGUGUGUUGGUGGGCCUUGGACUCUGCUCUAAGACACAUGGAGGCAACCACUCAAGGCCACUCUGAGAAGGGUUGAACGUGCUUUAAAUUAAAAGGACUGAGGAUCAUGUGUGUUGGUGUGUCUUGGACUCUGCUCUAAGACUCAUGGAGGCAACCACUCAAGGUCACUCUGAGAAGGGUUGAACGUGCUUUAUUAAAAGGACUGAGGAUCAUGUGUGUUGGUGUGUCCCGGAGUCUGCUCUAAGGCCCUGUGGCUGCCUGGUGCCCUGGGAAUGGUCCGGUCAUGGGCCUCAGCCCAGGAUGAGCAGCCAACAAUGCAAUCCCACGAAGAGUGUGCGGAAGGGAGAGGUUACUUCUCAAGAUGGAGCUGCCAAAUAGGGACACUUUGGAGAGUCUGGCCUGAGAACUUUUAGUUUCAAGAAUGUAUUGCUUUGGAAAAGACAGAAUAAAAGUCCAAGCACUGCCACUUA